UAACUACACCGUUCAGGUAAAGACUUUGAAGUGAGAAGAGAAUAAGAGAAGAUGGUACCAAGGACUGUAGGAAAAGUGCAGAUCAGAUCUACACUCAUAUGCCUCAACCCUAUCAUUGAUCUGGUUAACCACUCAGACAUGCAUCUCAUAUUCCAAACUUCAUGCAUGGAACCAGAUAGCCAGCUAUGUGAAUUCUUAUGAGAUAUUCAGUUCAAUUUGGAAGAGAGAACCAACCCAUAUAACAAACAGUGUUUUUAGAGAGAAAAAAAAGCUCAAAAGAACUGAUGAAUACGUUGAAAAAGUCUGAAAACAUGUGCAAUGUGUAAAACCUGUAGACCUACAUCUCCACAAAAGGAUGGAUUCGGUUUUUCCCCCUUUUCUUCAUAUUUUAUUAUUAAAAAAUGGCUCUUGGAGAUAUGGUGGAGAAGAAGGGAUUCACUGGGAAAUGUAAACCAUAUAAAAAUAAAAGGUGUA